GUAGCGAGAUGUGGGUGAGAAUCCCACAGGCCGUAAACCCAAGGUUUCCAGGGGAAGGUUCGUCCGCCCUGGGUUAGUCGGGACCUAAGCUGAGGCCGAAAGGCGUAGGUGAUGGACAACAGGUGGAUAUUCCUGUACUACCGAUAACCGUUUGAGAGAAGGGAUGACACAGUAGGAUAAGCUAAGCACACUGUUGGUUAUGUGUGCCCAAGCAUUGAGGCAGUCAAAGUAGGCAAAUCCGCUUUGAUAAUGCUGGGAUGUGAUGGGGAGCGAAAUUUAGUAGCGAAGUAGCUGAUUUCACACUGUCAAGAAAAGUCUCUAUCGAGGUUAAAGGUACCCGUACCGCAAACCGACACAGGUG
rnacentral:rRNA from 1 species